rnacentral:rRNA from 1 species
GUUUUGAUUAUGGCUCAGAUUGAACGCUGGCGGAAUGCUUUACACAUGCAAGUCGAACGGCAGCAUAGAGAGCUUGCUCUCUGAUGGCGAGUGGCGAACGGGUGAGUAAUAUAUCGGAACGUGCCUAGUAAUGGGGAAUAACUAGCUGAAAGGUUAGCUAAUGCCGCAUACGACCUAUGGGUGAAAGCAGGGGAUCUUCGGACCUUGCGUUAUUAGAGCGGCCGAUAUCUGAUUAGCUUGUUGGUGGGGUAAUGGCCUACCAAGGCGACGAUCAGUAGCUGGUCUGAGAGGACGAUCAGCCACACUGGAACUGAGACACGGUCCAGACUCCUACGGGAGGCAGCAGUGGGGAAUUUUGGACAAUGGGGGCAACCCUGAUCCAGCCAUUCCGC